rnacentral:misc_RNA from 1 species
GGUAGCCCUUGGCAACGGUGUAUUUUAUGAAAUUAAGGGCAUUGCUGGAAUCCCAAUUUCCUACCCACGCAUGCCUAUUUGCCUGUCGUCUCCCAUACAGUGCAUUCAAGCCGAAAGUCACAAGUGCUCCUGUCUUCUUGAAAAGGUUAUUUAGCUCAUCCCAUCUCUGCAUAGGUAAGCAUCCCUUAGAGAAUCCAAACAA